rnacentral:tRNA from 1 species
GCAAUGGUGGUUCAGUGGUGGAAUUCUCUUCCAUGCAGGAGACCUGGGUUCAAUUCCCAGCCAAUGUA